AUUGAACGCUGGCGGCAGGCUUAACACAUGCAAGUCGAACGAGUGGCGGACGGGUGAGUAAUGUCUGGGAAACUGCCCGAUGGAGGGGGAUAACUACUGGAAACGGUAGCUAAUACCGCAUACCAUCGGAUGUGCCCAGAUGGGAUUAGCGAGUAGGUGGGGUAACGGCUCACCUAGGCGACGAGCCCGAGCUGGUCUGAGAGGAUGACCAGCCACACUGGAACUGAGACACGGCCCAGACUCCUACGGGAGGCAGCAGUGGGGAAUAUUGGACAAUGGGCGCAAGCCUGAUGCAGCCAUGCCGCGUGUAUGAAGAAGGCCUUCGGGUUGUAAAGUACUUUCAGCGGGGAGGCGUUACCCGCAGAAGAAGCACCGGCUAACUCCGUGCCAGCAGCCGCGGUAAUUC
rnacentral:rRNA from 1 species